UACAGAGGUGGCAAGCGUUGUUCGGAAUUACUGGGCGUAAAGGGCGCGUAGGCGGUUCGAUAAGUCCCAUGUGAAAUCCCUCGGCUCAACUGAGGAACUGCACGGGAAACUGACGGGCUUGAGUUCGGGAGAGGGAAGCGGAAUUCCGGGUGUAGCGGUGAAAUGCGUAGAUAUCCGGAGGAACACCGGUGGCGAAGGCGGCUUCCUGGACCGACACUGACGCUGAGGCGCGAAAGCUAGGGGAGCAAACGGG
rnacentral:rRNA from 1 species